UGGGUAUCAGGUUUGAACUUGGCAUGCUAUGGGUAGUAUGGAAAAUAUGAGCUGGUUCAGUGUUGCCCUUGGAAUAAAGAAAACGACAUAGCAAGCAAUACCAUAUGUUGUUAGCCACUGUCGAUUCGUUUUUUCUUAUCCGAGAAGAAAUAUCACAAACACACAGUAUUACAAUGGACGGGGCCUUAGACUUUUUCAGGGUUCCAUAUUGUGCCUUUUUCUUUCUACUCAUGUUGCUUUGGUCUUCUUGCCGUAUUUCUACUGACUUUUAGAUCUCAUGCUUUUCCAUUAGGCCAUAGGCUCUAUCAUCACUGACACUAUAAUAUUAAAAUAAAAAGGGCCCACUUUAAAACUUUGGAAGUCACGAUCCCACUUGCCCGUGGGCAGCACGGCCAGGACGCCCGCGCAUGCCCUCUUUCUUGCUCUGGUCUUGGCGCUGCUAGCGGAAAGGAGCGGAGCGCGCGCGGGUGGGAAGAGCUCCUCGUCCACCAGGAAGGCGCUGUUCGCACUGGGUAGGUAGGCCAAGUUGAGGCAGAUGGGAAGCUGGGCGGGGCUGCCGACCCAGUUGGGUUUCGAGUGGCCGUUCUGGGACUGAGGACUUUCUGGACAGGGGUGCCCGACCUCCCCUUGUCAUUGUGCUUGCUUCGGACGCUGAGCGGUCUACUGGCUCGAUCUGUGUCAGUGACGGACUGUGUACCUUUUUCAAGGAGGAAGUAGAUUUUCAGGCUCUAUUAAAGAUGUUGUGCUUACCAUGUUUCUCAUCUCCUGUAUCCAUACCAGCAGUAGAAUUCCAGUCAUCAGACUCUUGAACCCACAGCUUCUGCCACAGCCACCGCCAAGGAGAUCCCCCUCAGAGCCCAGAAAACACACAUUCAUGAUGGCAUUGCCCAGGAACUAUGAAGUCUGUUUGGAUAUGAAGAACCUGAAACUUUUGUCUGCUCAGAUGGAAGCCAGGCUGGUGGCCACGUCAGGAAGAAUGCUUGAAAGCCUCGGUAAGCAGAUAUGCAUGUGUUUACCUUCUUUCAGGGCACUGGUUUUCAAAUGAGUCUUUUUUUUUUUCUUUUAAUUUAAGAGAUAGCACACGAGUAGGAGAGAGGGGCAAAGAGGGAGAGAGAGAAAGAGACAGAGAGAGAGGGAGACGGAGAGAGAGGGAGAGAAUAUUAAGCAGGCUCUACCAUCAGCACGGAGCCAGAUGUGGGACGCAAUCUCCUGACCCUUGGAUCACGACCUGAGCUGAAAUCAAGAGUUGGACACUCACCGACUGAGCCACCCGGGUGCCCCCAAAUGAUUCUUAUUUAACUGUUUUGGGCUGGGAUCAAGUAGAUGCAUUUUAUAAAUCUCCCUAGGUGUGAUAUUGCUUAGGUUAUUUUAUCUAUUUUUUUGUCAUUAAAACAAUGUUUCUUGUAGAAGUGAUUAUUGGUUUUUUUUAAGUAGCACAGAGAUCAGAAUGAUCAUAUGUCUCAGAGAUGAAUAACUUUCUGGAUACCUACAGAAAACUUUCUGGUUACUCUUCUUUUGCCUGUUAAUCUCUGCAGCCAUGCCAUGGAAGAUAAGAGGAAAGGAGUUUUAAAUUAUAUUUGAUUGGUCAUUUAAAAGGAGUUAAAUUGUGGUGCAUAUAAUAAUAAUAUGCACCUAGUAGCAUUGUAUGGGUAAAGGUCAAGUUGGCUUCCUAUUCUAAUGGUCCCAAGUGGGGUUCCUGAAAGAUGCGUUAUCAUACUGAUGAGAAAACAAAUGCAGAGAAGCAGUUUGAGGAUACAGGAGAGUUAAGUACUGAGGACUGAGGAACCCAGAACCUGAUAAGGACAUAGUGGGUGAGGAAACCAUACUAAUAAGCAAGGAGGUCUACUUAGGCAAGUGAAGAAUAGCCUGGAAAUAGAGGCCAUGUUCUUGCCACUUAGAAAUAAUACUCCUGAGGGGCUCCUGCAUGGCUCAGUUGGUUAAGUGUCUGCCUCUUGGUUUUGGCUCAGGUCAUGAUUUCAAGGUUGGAGAGUUAGAGCUCCCUAUCAGGCUCCACACUGCCAGAAGGAACCUGCUUGGGAUUCUCUCUCUCCUCCUCUCUGUCUCCUCCUCCCCUGCUUGCACGAGUGCUCUCCCUCUCUCUCAAAAUAAAUAAACUUAAAAAAAAUAGUACUCA
ensembl:lncRNA